UUUUGGUGAUUUUGAGGUUUAAUUUCCUCUAUGUAGUUAGUUAACUAUUUAACACUGAGAGCAGGGGUAGGGAUAAGGCAAACAACAAAAAAGCCAAAAUGAAACCAACUUCUGUGGGGUUUCCCCACCCCAGGGAGGUGGAGGCUGAGGUAGAACUGACUGAGAGAAUCACCCUCCCUGCACUGUGAUGAAGACACAUCCACACAUCAGGACUACACAGCUGGCAGGUGCUGGCUGUCCAGAGGAGCAAACAGCUUCUUCCUUGUGUUUCUGUGUCUCUUAGUAGAAAUCUGUGCCCUUGGGAGAAAACUGAAUUUGCACCCCUUGAGGCAAACACUUGACCAAAUGAAUUAGGCAGAUGGGUGGAUGGGUGGGUGAAUGGGCAGGAGGUGUGACAGGCAGGAGGCGUGACAGGGAAAGAACACUGUUCUGACAGGCACACACUGCCACAUCUGCCCUCCCAACAACCCCGAUACAGACACUGUUGUUAACCCUCCUUUUACAGAUGAGGAAACUGAAGUUAAUUUGCUCGUGGUAACACAGCUAGGCAAGUGGCUACGUUCAGCUGGAGAAAAGGAAAAUUCUGAAAGACUUUAGGAUACAUCUUAUUCAAAAGCAUUUGGUGAACAUAAAUAUGUACCCAAGGUAUAAUAUUAAGUGAACCAAGCUUGUUAUAAAGCAGUAUGAGUCCUGUCUGAUUCC
rnacentral:lncRNA from 10 species